GAAGUAUGGAAUUCAAGAAAAAGCCGCUAACUUUUAUCUUUAAUGGUGUAAGCCCAUUUAUAUUUCU
rnacentral:tRNA from 1 species